CCAACUGUUGGCUGACUGGAAGUUGUGACAUGUUCCAGUUCCCUGCUUUGUGAGCUGCCACCCAUAAUAGGGUGGGCUUUGGUGAUGCAGCUGUCUUCGAGUCACUUCUGUUCCUGUAAAUAACCAUCACCCAUAUUCCUGUAAGUUACCCCAGUAAAACUCAUUGGUUCACCAAGUAGAACUUUGAUGUCACCUCUAUUUUGGUCUGUUGUGGGUCCCCUAUCUGGGUUGAGUAAACAUGUGUGAUGUGUCUCCCUAGGAAAAAUUUUGUCACACAACAGAGUGAAAGUUUCCUGACUUCCAUGAUUCUGUUAGCAACUAUCUAAAAAUCUAGAGUAGCUAAGAAUUGUUGCUAUAAGAGAAAAAGGGAAAAAAAAAAACCCAAGCAAAUAAAAAUAUGAAGAAACAUACUUCAAAAGAAUAAAUUGCUGGUGUGGGAGCAGAGGAGGCAGAGAAAAUUAUUUGGGAACACAUUUUAAAAAUCAAAUGUAUUCAUGUCAUCAGAACAGGGAGAAUACAGAAAUCAGAGUUUAUACGGUUCAUUACACUUUGAUCAUAAUGUUUAUAUCUAUCCUAUUUUUUGCUAUAUGGUCAUGUGACUGCCAGCGGCAAAACUAGAGUCUAAAUGUAUGUUCUCUGCCUGCAAAUUGCACUCUUUUUCUUACUCCAUACUGCCUUGCAUUCAGGUUGUUUGUGUACUUCCUAUAUGCUUACACAGUGAUGCUCUACCUCCAGUGCCUAGUAGCUAAGUGACCACAGGCAAAUUAGCUCGAUUUCUUUAAGUUCAUAUUAUUCACCCAUGCAGAAGAAAUCAUGACACUCUAUCUUUUGUCACUGAGAUGUUGAAAGGUUUAAAAGGCAAUGUUCUAUAAUAGCAUACAUAUACAUAUAAGCCAUUGUUACUAAAACUUAUAAAAGGAAAGGUUGACGAGAUCGAAUAGUCAACAGAUAUUAUCUUUGAGGACUAGUUGGAACCUCAUUUGGAAAUAAUUGCUCUCUUAGACG
rnacentral:lncRNA from 1 species